GAAUUCGCCCUUAGAGUUUGAUCCUGGCUCAGGACGAACGCUGGCGGCGCGCCUAACACAUGCAAGUCGAACGGAGUUAUUUUGGCAGAAGCCUUCGGGUGGACGCUGAUAUAACUUAGUGGCGAACGGGUGAGUAACACGUGAGCAACCUGCCCUUCAGAGGGGGACAACAGUUGGAAACGACUGCUAAUACCGCAUAAGACCACGGUGUGGCAUCACACAGAGGUCAAAGGAGAAAUCCGCUGAAGGAUGGGCUCGCGUCCAAUUAGCUAGAUGGUGAGGUAACGGCCCACCAUGGCGACGAUUGGUAGCCGGACUGAGAGGUUGAUCGGCCACAUUGGGACUGAGACACGGCCCAGACUCCUACGGGAGGCAGCAGUGGGGAAUAUUGCACAAUGGAGGAAACUCUGAUGCAGCGACGCCGCGUGAGGGAAGAAGGUCUUCGGAUUGUAAACCUCUGUUGUCAGGGACGAUAAUGACGGUACCUGACGAGGAAGCCACGGCUAACUACGUGCCAGCAGCCGCGGUAAAACGUAGGUGGCAAGCGUUGUCCGGAAUUACUGGGUGUAAAGGGAGCGCAGGCGGGAGAGCAAGUUGGAAGUGAAAUCUGUGGGCUCAACUCACAAAUUGCUUUCAAAACUGUUUUUCUUGAGUAGUGCAGAGGUAGGCGGAAUUCCCGGUGUAGCGGUGGAAUGCGUAGAUAUCGGGAGGAACACCAGUGGCGAAGGCGGCCUACUGGGCACCAACUGACGCUGAGGCUCGAAAGUGUGGGUAGCAAACAGGAUUAGAUACCCUGGUAGUCCACACCGUAAA
rnacentral:rRNA from 1 species